UUUUGUAUAAUGGGUCAGCGACUUAUAUUCUGUAGCAAGGUUAACCGAAUAGGGGAGCCGAAGGGAAACCGAGUCUUAACUGGGCGUUAAGUUGCAGGGUAUAGACCCGAAACCCGGUGAUCUAGCCAUGGGCAGGUUGAAGGUUGGGUAACACUAACUGGAGGACCGAACCGACUAAUGUUGAAAAAUUAGCGGAUGACUUGUGGCUGGGGGUGAAAGGCCAAUCAAACCGGGAGAUAGCUGGUUCUCCCCGAAAGCUAUUUAGGUAGCGCCUCGUGAAUUCAUCUCCGGGGGUAGAGCACUGUUUCGGCAAGGGGGUCAUCCCGACUUACCAACCCGAUGCAAACUGCGAAUACCGGAGAAUGUUAUCACGGGAGACACACGGCGGGUGCUAACGUCCGUCGUGAAGAGGGAAACAACCCAGACCGCCAGCUAAGGUCCCAAAGUCAUGGUUAAGUGGGAAACGAUGUGGGAAGGCCCAGACAGCCAGGAUGUUGGCUUAGAAGCAGCCAUCAUUUAAAGAAAGCGUAAUAGCUCACUGGUCGAGUCGGCCUGCGCGGAAGAUGUAACGGGGCUAAACCAUGCACCGAAGCUGCGGCAGCGACACUAUGUGUUGUUGGGUAGGGGAGCGUUCUGUAAGCCUGUGAAGGUGUACUGUGAGGUAUGCUGGAGGUAUCAGAAGUGC
rnacentral:rRNA from 1 species